UGAAGGUAUCUUCACUAACAACAGGCCGGGAUAUUUUUUUCUUGGAGAAUUUCAAUGCUGAAGGUGGAGUACCCAUUGUAGCGCUCAUUAUACUAGCCCUGUUCGCGUCAAUCCUUGAAGACAGGUCCAAAACAUUCGUAUACACUGGUUCAUGGCUCAAUGUCGGAUAUCUCGAUGUAGGACGAAAUUGAAGAGUAGGGGAGGAUGAAGAAGCUGUGUUACCGCUUUUUAAAAAAGCUGGGGUACCCUCUGUUCUUUUUCCAUUAUUCGUUGCGAAUACCAACUUUUCCUUCUCAUACUUCCUCCGAGAGCUAUGUGAAUCUUUCAUUAACAGAUUAAUUUACGAGUGAAAUAAAGAGCAAAAGGUAGACGCUUUAGGAGGAAAGCAGUAAGAAACGAGGAUAAUGAGGUAUCGCAGUUUGAUGAAUGUUACAGCUCUUCUGCUGUUGCCAACAAAACGAAUAUCUUACAGCUCACUAAACAACAAAUAAUACACGAAAA